CGGAAAGCACGUGUUCCAGAUGCUUGGAAGGAAGCUAAACUCACCCCAAUCUACAAGAAGGGCCCCGUUGUUUCUCCAACUAAUUAUAGGAUGAUAGCUGUGAGCGCUCCUAUCUACCGGUUGUACACUAAUGUCCUGAGAUCCAUUAUUCAGGAUUGGUGUAUCCACCACAGGAAAUUCUUGAUACACAAUAUGGAUUUUAUCCAGGAAGAAGUACCCUUCAACCACAUCCUACAACACCUGAAAAACGCAGCCCAAAAAGCUCGGAAUGAUACCUCCAGAUUGUUUACAGCAUUUAUUGAUUUUCAGCAAGCGUACAAUUCUGUUCCUCGGGAAAAGCUGUGGAAACAUUUGUAUCAUUGUCGUCUACCUCACCAACUCAUUGCUAUUCUCCAGGAUCUGUAUCACAUGGAUGUAUAUACUCCGCUUGAUGGUGACAAAAUGGCUAGUGUUCAGCCAGUGUGUGGGGUUAAACAAGGAUGUCCUCUAUCACCUCUUCUUUUCGYAAUUUAUCUCAACGAYAUUGAUACUGUYGCAGARGGUGUACAAGGUGCUCUGACAGCCAYCCCAAAUUUAACGGUGACMCAUUUACUUUUUGCUGAUGAYCUGGCUUUUACAGCAAACARGCAACCAAGUUUACAAAAACUUCURAACAACUUGAAAGACUAUGCCAUGAGGAAAUCUUUGGUUGUYAAYACGCASAAAUCCCAAGUGAUGUGUGUAAAUUCCAGGUCUGACAAUCUGCCGACUUUUUUCUAUGAUGGGUCACCCUUACCUUACACUGACCRUUUCAAAYAUCURGGGAUGGUGAUUGAUAAGCAAUUUCAUCUUUCRACAGCAGCAGACGCAGCCUUACAGCCUCUGGUGAAUGGGACUUUCAAAAUACAACGCUUUGCUCAGGAGCACGGUCUAACCAACCGACUUCAUGCUCUCAUUUGGUUACUUAAGACUUACUCCAUUCCUGCUGGUAUGUAUGCAAGUCAGAUUUGGGCAACCCCCUUCCUUAAGCAAGGUAAAGAAAUGGACGACCCAUUACAAAAAUGGAUUAUUGCAACACUUAAAAGGUGGCUGGGUGUCAGAGAUACAACUCCUUCUUGGUCUGUGCUGCGAGAGUGUGGGCUUGAACCGCUACAACUCAAUUGGYUCCGAGCAGCUAUUCGUCUGUACAACUCGUUUACACAAUGCAAUAGCAUCACGGUCAGAAAGGUCUUACAGGCGGAUAUCUGUUUAUCUUCUUCCUCUUGUGACUGUUGGUCUUCACACAUAAUUAAUGCCAUGGAUGGAUUGCAUCAUGCUAGUCAAUUCAAGCACAACAUAAUGAAUUGUGAACCAAUCCACCUUCGACAAUUUGUGGUUGACCUCAGAUCCAGACAGGUUCAUUAUUGGACUCAAUUCUCCGGCCCCACUCCCAGACAGCGGAAUAGCAAACACCGUACUUAUCAUCAUUGGUGUGUGAUACCUAUCCGCAACAUUGUAGCCACCCAGGCCCCUUAUCAAACUCCCAAAUAUUUCUACCUUGCCCUUCCCAACGAUGUUCUUUGCAAUGUUGCCCGCUUUAGGCUUCGUGUCCAUACUCUUCAGUAUGAAACAUCUACUUGGAAUCAGGGUUCUUCCUCUCAUUGUGAUUUAUGUCAGGAUGUAGAUUGUAUCCAAGAUGAAAAACAUGUUAUUUUUCACUGUACUCACCCCCAUGUCGUUGCAUUGCAUGCUAAGUAUGCCUUCCUAUUCAAUAAUCAGGAGGCUCAAAAUGUUCGUAAUUUUCUUCUUCAAGAUAAUAAUAAACUUGCUUAUUUUAUCCAUGAAAUUGUUACUUUUUAUGAACAGGCUAGCAGUCGUGCGUUUUGACUGAAGGCCUUUUUCUUUCCUGUAACCCUGUAACCCUGUAACCCUAGCUGCAGUUCCACAACUACGGCAUAGCUGCUGCAUACCUCUCUUGCCUCAACCAGGCAGGGAACAGGUACCCUGAGCUGCCACCAAACCCCACAACCCAGCCUCCUUUGCCCGCACCUCCCGCAGCACAAGCCCCUGUACAACCAGCACUUUCUCCUCCUGUGCCUUUCCACCCCUUCUGCAGCGCCGUGAGCAACAACUUCUUUCAUCGCGUGAGACGCCUGUGGGUGAGACUGAGCCUGUUAAAAGGCCAACACCCCUCUACAGUUACAGUUACAGUUACAGAGAAGAAAGGCCUGCAGUCAAAUCGACUGACUGCUAGCCUGUUCAUAAAAAAGUAAAAGUUCAUGCAGGAAAGGAUAAAGUUUAUUAUUGUUUUGGUUCAAAAAACAUCGCAUGGCAAUCGGUGGAACAUGGUGAGAUGCAUGCAGGAAAGGUGCCGCUUGAGAUUCUGGAGUUGCGAGGGAAAGGGCAUGUUCAUUAAACAAGGAUGCAUAUUUCCUUCUAAGAUUGCAAACAUGAGGGUGAGUACAUUUAAAUAGCACAUGUUGUUCAUCCUGAACGUCAUCGUGAGCAUCACACAGAUCGCACUUAGUAUCAAUAUUUUCAUUCCAGUAGUUUAGCUCAAUCCUCAAAAAAUGAACACGUAACCGAAAGCAGGCAACACUGCGUAAAAUAUGUGUGGGCAGAUCCAAAUGGAAGUACUUGGGCAAACAACAUAGGGAGAAGGUAGCAUGAGCGUCACGUUGUGGAAGGGCACACCAAUGAUGGUAGGUGAACGUUUUACUGUUUGUGUCAGGUUCCCGUGGCUGACGAGCAGUAAAAAAGGGUUGCUGCCAGAAUGCCAAAUGACGUUUCCAAAGGUCUACAACAAGUUGACUCAGAUUCAGAGGACUGCCAUUGAUAAUAUGAUGAUGGUAAGAUGGAGUAUGCCUAAGACCUUGUGUACCAAGCAAGAGAUGAGAAAUCCAGCAUGCAGGAUGGAAUUGGCUGAGUGAAAUGUCUGCCUGAAAAACCUUACGAAGGAGAGGGCUAUUACAAAAAAUGAGGUUGUUGUAAAGGCGUGCACAUGCUCGAAGCCAAUUCAAUUGCAUGGGUUUUAAGCCACAUUCCUGUAACACACUCCAUGAAGGUGUAGAAUUCCUGACCCCUAGUAUGGUGCGUAAAAAUUGUAAGAGCCACUUUAGAAUGCAAUUUUCCAUCUCUUGACCCUGUUGCAGAUAGGAAGUGGCCCAAAUCUGAGAAGCGUACAUGCCUGCUGGGAUGACAUAAGUUUUGAAUAACCAGAGAUACGCAUGUAAACGAUGAGUGAGACCAUGUUGUUGAAUAAAAGUACGCAUUCUGGCCAUGCUUGCCAGGCACAGCUUGAUAGCCUCCUCUGCAGCUUUGUUCAGAUUAAACUUCUUGUCACAAAACAUGCCUAGAUAUUUGAAAUGCUCAGAGAAAGGCAGUUCCUCAUUGUUGUACAGGAGAGUAGGCAUAUUGUGACCCUGCGAAUUAAAACACACCACAACAGAUUUCUGUGUGUUGACGGUCAGGAAGUUGUCACGGGAGUAUGUGGAAAGGCGAUUCAGCAUUUGCUGUAAAUUGGACGGGGAGUUAGAAGUGAGGCACAGGUCGUCAGCAUAAAGGAUAUGGGAGACAGCAAGGUUGGGAAUUCCUGUACACGCGGCUGGGAUAUCAUGAAAGAUGCUAGGGAUGUCAUUCAGGUAUAAGGAAAAGAGCAAAGGAGAUAAGGGACAACCUUGUUUGACACCAUGUGUUGCUUUGAUACGCGCGUGUUUGUCUCCAUCAACCAAAAUGUAUUCAUCAUCUUGGUACAGAUUCAUAAGAAUAUGAAUGAAAUGUGAAGGCAGUCGACACUUCUGUAAAUGUUGCCAGAGUCGAUGUCUGGGUACAGAGUCAUACGCUUGCUGAACAUCAUUAAAGGCAGCAUACAGACGAGAAGAGUGAUGUGGUUGAUGAAUUUGUGCAGCAUUCCUCAGAUGACAGAGAAAAAAGAGUGGGUGAAGAGUACUGCGCCCAGGAUAAAAACCAAAUUGAGAGUCAGGUAUUGAAUGAGUUUGCUCACACCAGUCUUGCAAAAGGGUACGAAGCACAUUGGUAUAAAGGCGAUAAAAGGUCCCACUUACAGCAAGCAUGCGGUAAUUACUGGCAUGUACAAUGGAACCUUUUUCACACAGAGGGGUGAGUUUAGUAGUCUUCCACUCUGAAGGUAUGGAGGCUUUAAUAAAAAGCAAAUGAAAAAAGGUUGAAAUGAUUGGUGUCAGAACAUUGGUUUGUUGGAAGGCUCUGCCGUCAUCAUGCCUAGCCACUGUGCAAGCAUACUUGAGAAAAGCUGGCAAAAUAGAGUCAAAUCCUGGUGAUGAGCUACCGUUGAGGCGUGAAAUGUGGAGCGCCACAAUCUUAUGUAUUUGACUCUCGUCAGGAAGAGGAAAACUAUCAGAAGAGGGCGCAUCGUCUUGUGACUGGUGGUGCCCACUAAGGGAAGGAACAGUAUGUGCAUGAAGUGAAGAAGAGGAGCUCGUGGAUCGUAGGAAAACUUUAGACAGAUGUUCCUGCCAUGCUGGAAGGGACACGGGUGUGGUAUGUUUGACAGGUUGUUGUCUCAAGAAAGAAUGAACAGAUGGAUCCUUGCGGUAAAGUUUGUCCAUGAAAGCAGCAGCGCGCGCAUGGGUAAAUCUGUGUUUUGCCCGUUGUACUUGCGCCUUGUAUUGGCGAUGAAGUUGUUGGCAAGCAUGCCAGGCUAGCCCAGAUUUAACUGCGAGAAGAAACUCUUUCUUUCUGGUUGCACAUUCCAGAUCAAACCAAAAGGGUCGUCUAGAAGUUGAACGAGGAAAAGUUGACCUGGAUAUAGUCAUGCCCACUCGAGGGUCACACGCUGUCUGUAUAAUCCAAGAUUUGAGCUCCUACUAUGACGAAUCAACAUCUUGUGCCUGAAUAUGAUGUAAAAAAAAGUUACGUUUCUCGUCAUUGUUACGGAGGAUUUGAGCAAAAAGGGUGGCGCGAUCCGGUCGCCAUCUUAAGAGAAAUUCUUGACAUUGUGAGGGUAAAAGAAAAUUACAUAUGGGUGAUUGAAGUCUCUUAUCUAGAUGCCCUGUUGGACUGGAAGAGGGGACAAAAAAAUUGGAUAGAGCGGCGUGGUCAAAACAUACAGGAUGUGAUUUUAGCACCGUGCAAUAGCGAGAACACCCCUCUACUCACCCAAAGUCCUCUGACCCCUCAGCUGCUGCCCCCCUAGGCAAGUCAACCUCUGCCCGCACUGACCGCUGUGCCCCAUCAGAAACACGCAGGGUCCAGCCCCCGGCAAGCACCAGGCACGACACCCCAGAGCGUCGCCCACCACUCAGGCCCAAGCGCCAACCAUCUUCCUCACCUAGCUCCUCAUCCUCUUCCUCAGGUGGUUCCUCUCGCAGGUCCAGCUCACUUGGGCGUCAAGAACGCAGCAGACACACCCCUCACAAGAAACCUAAACCCUCUGCAACUCCGCCUGCACGCGCGCCUGCCACUGGUCAACCACCGCCCGCAGGCUACCCCACUGCACUCACUCCUAGACCUGUGACAGGGUUUGAACAGACCCCACGGCAACAGCCUCAAGGCUCUGCUGGAUGCCCUGACCAGGAAGAACCACUAGACUACGGCCCUGCGCCUGACCUCCAGGUCACAGCAACUGGCUCUCUAGACUUCUCACAAAGCCAGGAGCAGCCACCCGCUGCACCAGAGCCUCAUCCCACACCCCACGCCACCGCACAGACCCACGCAGGCACAACUCCAACUCAGCCUGGCACAACGCCUGUAGGUCAGACGAACACAGGUACAGCUGGUGCCCAACCCAACAUAGCCACUGCUGACACCGGUCCUGCCUCGACUGCUGGUGCUGGCUUGCCCUUCCCUGUCAACACUGCCCCUGCUCUGCCUCCUGCCGCUGGACCUGGCCAACCAGCUGCUGCCCCUGCUGGCACAACAGUGUUUCCUGGCUCUGCUCCACCGCCCUCCAACGCUGGCCACACCCCACCUCAGUCUGUGGUAUACCCUAUUGAAGCCGCAGCUCAUCUCGUUUCCAACCCGCACAGCCCUGUCCCCUUUGUGCCUCACAGCGUCCACAUCACCAUCCAACCUUCAAACCAGGGUCAGGCGGCAUUGGCACAGUUGCGUGAAGUGCACCAGAAUACGUGUAACUACGUGCAGCAGCAGGUUAACAGCUUGAUGGAUGGGCAGUGCAUCGUAAUUGUGUCAACUGAGUCUACCCAGGUCAGUGGGCUUCUCCAUUAGCUUUAGACACCAUUGACCCUGCAGCUAGACGUCUCUCCGGUAUCAUUAGCACAGGUGUGCAAGGUAAAGCGCAACAGGUGCACUCAUCCCCAAUCAAUCUACCGCCACCUGAGCCCAGUGUUUUCCUGCCAUCUCCAGCACAUAGCGCGCAUCACUCUGCCCCCAACUCCUCUCGUGACAACUUCCUGACCGUCAACACACAGAAAUCUGUUGUGGUGUGUUUUAAUUCACAGGGUCACAAUAUGCCUAAUCUCCUGUACAACAAUGAGGAACUCCCUUUCUCUGAGCAUUUCAAAUAUCUUGGCAUGUUAUGUGACAAGAAGUUCAAUCUGAACAAAGCUGCAGAGGAGGCCAUCAAGCCUUGCAUGGCGAGUAUGACCAGAAUACGUACUUUUAUCCAACAACAUGGUCUCACUCACCGUUUACAUGCGUAUCUUUGGUUAUUCAAAACUUAUGUCAUUCCAGCCGGCAUGUAUGCUUCUCCGAUUUGGGCCACUUCCUAUCUGCAACAGGGUCAAGAGAUGAAGAAUUGUAUUCAAAAGUGGCCCUUGCAAUUUUUACGCACCAUACUAGGGGUCAGGAAUUCUACACCUUCAUGGAGUGUGUUACGGGAAUGUGGCUUGGAACCCAUGCAAUUGAAUUGGCUUCGAGCAUGUGCACGCCUUUACAACAUUCUCAUUUUUUGUAACAGUCCUCUCCUUCGUGAGGUUUUUUAGGCGGACAUUUUACUCAGUCAAUUCCAUCCUGCAUGCUGGGUUUCUCACUUCUUGCUUGGCAUACAAGGGCUCAGGCAUACUCCGUCUUAUCAUCAUCACAUCCUCAAUGGCAGUCCUCUGAAUCUGAGUCAACUUGUUAUAGAUCUUCGGAAGCGUCAUUUGGCAUUUUGGAAGCAACCCUUUUUUACAGCUCAUCAGCCUCGGGAACCUGACACGAACAGUAAAACGUUUACCUACCAUCACUGAUGUGCCCUUCCACAACGUGACGCUCAUGCUACCUUCUCCCCAUGUCGUUUGCCCAAGUACUUCCACUUGGAUCUACCCAGACGUAUUAUACACAGUGUUGCCCGCUUUUGGUUACGUGUCCACCUUUUGAGGAUUGAGCAAAACUACUGGAAUGAAAAUAUUGAUCCUAAGUGCAAUCUGUGUGAUGCUCACGAUGAUGCUCAGGAUGAGCAACAUGUGCUAUUUAAAAGUACUCACCCGCAUGUUUGCAACCUCAGAAGGAAAUGCGCAUCUUUGUUUAAUGGACAUGCCCUUUCCCUCUCAACUCCAGAGUCCCAAGCGGCACCGCUCCUGCAUGCAUCUCACCAUGUCCCACCGCAUGCCAUGCGAUCUUUUUUGAUUCAAAACAAUGAUAAACUUUAUCCUUUCCUGCAUGAAAUAUUACUUCUUUACAGGGUUAGAGGAAAAAAAGGCCUUCAGUCAAAAUGCGCGACUGCUAGCCUGUUCAUAAAAAGCAACAAUUUCAUGAAUAAAAUAGACAAGUUUAUUAUUAACUUGAAGAAGAAGAUUACGUACAUCUUGAGCCUUUUGGUUAUUGAAUAGAAAGGCACACUUAGCACGCAAUGCAACGACAUGAGGGUGAGAACAGUGAAAAAUUGUCAUGCCACAUAAGUGCGGCAUCUGAUUCACCAACUUGGUUUGACUAUCCACUAACAUUCCAGAGGCUGAUCCAGAGCAGGUUAACAGUAUUGAAGAAGUGGGUUUAACGUCCAGAGGCUAGGUAACUCUAGCACAAAGGACAGCUGCCAAAUCCUGAGCAGCUUGACUUACUCUGCCUACCUGAGGCUUGCUUAGCUAAUUUCCUGGCUGGAACCUGACAAACACGAUACGUUACCACACUUUGGGCUGCCACACCAGUCCCCUCCCCAAGGGCUGAUCGGCCUUAGCCGGGCAUACUCACGAUGGCGGUCUUCUCACUUGAUGAGUAAUGAAUACAACCAAAGCCAGAAACACGGAAGUCUUCAAUACUGGCUGUGCCAGUCUCUCAGCCACCAUAAAUAUCAGGUUCAACGACCAACCGCCAAUCUGAAGGUCAGCAGCAAUAUAGCAAUGACAAAAAUCUCGCGUGACAAAAUAACAUGAUUUUCAUCUUGAAUACGAUCUACAUCCUGACACAAAUCACAAUGAGAGGAAGAACCCUGAUUCCAAGUAGAUGUUUCAUACUGAAGAGUAUGGACACGAAGCCUAAAGCGGGAAACAUUGCGAAGAACAUCAUUGUGAAGGGCAAGGUAGAAAUAUUUGGGAAUCUUAGAAGGGGCCUGGGUGGCUACAAUGUUGCGGAUAGGCAGCGCACACCAAUGAUGAUAAGUACGGUGUUUGCUAUUCCGUUGCCUGGGAGUGGGGCCGGAGAACUGAGUCCAAUAUUGGACCUGCCUGGAUCUGAGGUCUACCACAAAUUGUCGAAGGUGAAUUGGUUCACAAUUCAUUAUGUUGAUCUUAAAUUGACUAGCAUGAUGCAAUCCAUCCAUGGCAUUGAUUAUGUGUGAAGACCAGCAGUCACAAGAGGAAGAAAAUAAACAGAUAUCCGCCUGCAAGACCUUUCUGACCGUGAUGAGUGAAAGAAAAGAAAAGAAAAGAAAAACUGCGUAGGCAGAGAAACUCCCCCUACAUCAAUUAAGGAAAAGGAGACACAUUGGCUCCGAAGAGCCGUGAGUCUCCCCCACCACAAGGAAAGAAGGAAAAACAAGUGGGGAUCAGGUGGGUUUCUAGAGGCACAAGGCCCUAGAACCUGGCUGUGGGAAGUAACAUUGUUUGCAAUGGCACGUCUGGUGGUAACAAGUUUGUGAGCGUAAAUAGCGGAAUGGGCAUUCAGGCUACAAGCAAGUUUAGUGGCACGUUCGUGGCUCAGACCAAGCUUUUUGAAUUGAUUGAGGGUUUGCUUGAUGUAACUUGUUCCGCCAACGCCCAGGAGAAUGGGGUGAAUAGUGACACUUUUAGCAUCAAUGAGUUUGCUCAAAUGUGCAUGUUGUUGCUUAUCUUAGCCGCCGCCAAUUUAUGCUCGGGUCUCGUAUCCUCACAGUACUUUAUUUCAAUCAGGUGCACAUGCCUUUGGUUGGGAGCUAGAUGGUGAGGCUGUCUCACUCGGCUGGCCGUGCUGGUCCUCUGCAUGUUCCUGUGCCUGUUACGCAACAUAUAGCGUGAGGGAGAGUCAGAGGAUGAAGAAGGAGAAGAAGAAUUGGGUUUGGCAUUAUAAGGGGUGAUUAAGAUAGCAUCAGGACGGCUGGUAGUGAGUCUAGAUCUCUCCAAAAUGUUUCGAGGAAAUCAGUAAUCAGGUAUAGUUCUGUUUGAAGCAUGAGCAGGAAGUUGAAGAUAAUGCUGUGCUAGCCGUUCAUGUUUUCCUACAUCUGUAUAAAUCAAGCCUGCUCCACGAGGGCUUUUGCUAAGAGCUUUUAUGAUCAUUCUGCCAUUAUGACGUUCAGUUUUCAUGUUAGAGAUGAUAUGAUUUUGGCAACCAGAGAGCAUGUGGAGAGCGCUAUCUAGUUGUUGACAGCCUGGGAAAGGGCAAAGAGGGUCAGUGGAUCGUUUAAAGCGCACGGCAUGUUUUUGAUUAUAGAGGGUGCCAGUACGAUAUUGAAAAAUGGUGCGCUUUACAGAAAAAAAAAAAGAAAAGAAAAGGCUACGCAGUCUUGAGGCCGCGUGCAUUAAGGGAAGAAACCCUAACAAAAGUUAGAGGCCUCACCAAGAGGCCCUACAGGAAAGGAUAUUCCAGGCAUGGUCCUGAAGGCAUUACUGAUCUUCUUUUCAACUUGGGGUAGCAAACUUUGAUAGUAAGGGUAGUAACCUAUUUUGGUAUUGGCAUAUCCAAGCUUGUGUUUAGAGUGCAUGUGUAGCUGGAGUGCAGCGUGGAGGUUGGAAAGGUAUGUGAGUUUUGAAGUGUGUACAGGGGCUAUGGAAGUGCUCGCGGCAUGUUCCCUUGUUUCCUCCUUGGCUAACCAAAAAAUUCGUGAGAAAGGGUUUCCGGCAGGGCCUGCACAGGGGAUUUCAGUAUCCGCCACACUGUUGUUUGCUUUGUCAGCCUGAUACUUUGCUAUAGCAUCUGCACAUUCAUUCCCGGAAAUGCCUGCAUGGGCUUUUACUUUGCGAACAUAAAUUUUGACAUGAGAGUUCUUAAUAAGAGUUAAUAUAAUUCUGAGGAUAUCUCCUUGGAUGUGCUCCCUGUGCUUCUCAGGAUACAAAAUUUGUUUGCCUAUUUGACAAGAAGAAAUGAGGCUGUCUGUUCCAAUGUGUGCAUGGCAGUGGGUGAUGGCAGCAGUAACACCUGCUAAUUCUGCUCGGGGUACGUUGUUUGUGAUUCCAGCACCAUUUGGCUCUACAAGGAUUUUGCUGUCAGACAGGGGAUGGUACACGCCUACCCCUAUUCCUUGCUUUCCAUUUCGGGAAUGACAGCUGCCAUCAGUGUACGCCCAUGUCCUCCAGUCUGGGACUUUGAGGGCAAGGUUGGGGUUCAGCAUACAAGCCGCCCUGUUCAGCAUACAAGCCGCCCUGAUGCUCUAUUUGUGCGGCACAUCCCAGGCAGGCAAGCCCAACUUGAUCCUACCAAGAUUCCACCGCAAGAUAGAGACAUUGACCUUGUUGAACUUAAAUUCUGCUCUGACACUAAUCCUGCCAGCGCCUUGGAGCGUGCACAAACUCAACAUUCCCACACCAUUAGCAGACUUAAAACACGCAGCUUAAGAAACGCAAACAGGAAUAAUAAAGUAACUUUGCACACCAUCUUAAUUGGUGUUGGUCAGGGAAGUUCAGGGGGGUCUGAGAAAUUUCGGGUCCACCCGAAGGCCUGUUUAAAAAUUUUCGGGUCUACCCGACCUGCCUUUCAAGACCUUCGGGUUUAGGUGCUAAAAAAAAAAACCGGCCGGGGGCUGACGCCCCCGGCCGGGUGAGUGCGAUGUGGAGUACUAAUUUAUUUGAGCCUACCUUCUUUCACCAUUACCUUCCCUUUACCGCCAGCGCCGUACCCCUGAGCAUGGGCGACCCCGGGAAUUUCCGGUAUUCUCAUUCGGACUUGCGUCGACCUCUCAGGAGGUCGGGGGUUCGAGCCGCUUAGAUGCCCUCGAAGGCAUAAACAGCGGAAACACUUCCUUCCUUCCUUCCUUCCAUUACCUUUCAAAGAAGAUCUUGUAUACCCAUACAAAUUAUUUCCAAAUUUCUUCAUCCCAAAAUUCCUUCUUGUUUACCCAUACAACUUAUUUCCAAAUUUCUUCAUCCCAAAAUUUCCUCCUUUUCAUAUACCCACCAUUUUCUUUUAACACAGGAGGGGAAUUUUGAUUUCAAUCCAUGGGAAUUUUUUUGGACUGCUGCAUGGCAGCUGCAUGUCAUAGGAGGGGGCUGCAGUUUGCUGCAUCACAUGUGUUACAAUUGCCAAAAAAUGGAGGGUGUAAUGAAUGCAAAAAAAAAAACAAAGGUGUCCACAUUUACAGAUCGUCCAACUCGGUUGCUGCCGCAUUCACACCCAAGUCCAUCAUGCUCCCCUCCUCAUUCAGAUUGCUGAGGCCAAAGCAAUCCGUUCCAUCAUCAACUUCUCCAUCCUCCUCCUCCCCUUCACUCAUCCAUGCUCCCACAUCAUCUUCUUCCUCAAUCUCAUCUUCCUUGGACAUAUCUAGAUCUGGCUCUACACCUUCAUCUACUCCAUCAGCCAGCAAGCCCAAUUCAAUAUCAUCAAUUCUCUUAAACAGAUCCCGCAAUUUCAUAUCCUCCCUUGAGCCAACAGGGACGUAAUUAUGUAUUCUGGCAGCAGCUGCAAAAUCAAAUGAUUGCAAAGGUUGCCCCAGGGUGAGCAACUUGAUGCGCAACAAAGAAUCAAGCGUCAUGAUUUUCAGACGAUUAGUCAACCUGUUUUUCAAGAUGCGGUGCAAACUGAAGCCACGCUCAACAACAGCAGUUUGCACAGGUGUUAAGAACAUUAUGUUAGCAAAAAUAAUCAUUUUUGAAUACACUACUGCAUCAGGGCUAUUCCGCAACAUGCCCCACACUGCCACCGGAUCAACAAUUUUAUAUGUAUUCACCAAUGUAUGCAUUGCUUGCUUCAUGACCAUAAAUUCAUGUGCAAUGCUAGCCCCAUUAAAAUCAAACAAUUUCUGUGAACCCCUCUCUUUGCCACAGAAGUGCGCGAGCAAGACUUUAAAGCUCUCCCAGCCAAACUUCUCUAGGCUCUCAACAGGCAUAUUCAAGUAAAAACUGGGAAUAAAAAUAUGAAAGUGCCCCAGCAAAGCGCAGCUCUCAAACCGCUCUUUAAACUUUUGUACAAUAAACUUGGCUAAAUUCCUCAUCUCCCUCUGCAAAACAAGCAAACUGCACUUCCUCAUUUUAAAUUUGAAUUGAGGGCUUGGAAUCCACCAGCCAUCCUUUUUCACUCCCGCACAAAAGGCUUUAAAACGGACCAAAUGUACACUUUUUAAAUCCUCUGCAGAAACAAACAUUUGUUCAAGCUGCUGCACUGUUCUGUUUACAUGAUGUACAACUUCAUGAGGCAGAAUACUGUCUGACUGAAGCUCUUUGCACAGAAUAACAACAGGUUGCAACAUAUCUAAGACCAAGAACAAGGUACUCACUGCCUUUAAGCUCAGCAACCUCUUUUUCACCCUUACAGCGACAGGCCAAGAGCGGGGAUUAUUUGUUGCAGACUGAUCAUUAUACUGACUCAGGAAUGCAAGCAGAACUGGCAGGUUGGAACACAAGACAUCCAAGCACUCUGCUCGGCUGAGCCAGCGCGUAGGCACAUACAACGGAAACUUCAAGCGUUGCACACCUCUUGCCUUGGCAAAAUCUUCCCAUUCUUGCUGACGCUUAUGGCUUUUACUAAAUAAAUUGUGCACAGCCUUCAACAAGCUGUCCACAAGCUGCAGACAUUCAUUUUCUUUCCCGGCAUCAUUCAUGACUAGCGCAGUCCUGUGUGCUGUACAGUGAACACCAACUAUAUACGGGCACAGCUUUUCCCUCAACUGCUGCUGCACACCAGUGUGCAGCCCCAUGUAAUUAGAUGCACCAUCCGUACACAUUGAAAUAAGCUUUUGCUUAUCUAUACCCAAGGCCUCAAGAAUGCCAAGCAAAACGCUGUAAUGGUGACUUGCAUCGUCUGCUUUUGCGCUGACGCAGCACAGAAAUACAGUGACAAAAGCAAACGUGCUAGCAUCCAGAAACCUGAUAUACACCAUGAUGUGGUUCUGCGUGCUUAUAUCAGUCCCUCCAUCACAAAGCAAAGCAUAAAAAGGACUUACAUUAAUUCUUGCAAUUGUGGCGCUUAAUAAGACUUCGCUACAAGCAUACAUAGAAGACCAGAAGUACCUACGAUGGUUGUAUUUGUGCAAAAUUUUACUUGUGCAUGCCAGGGAAAGGAGCUGCAAAAGAGAUGCAAACUUCUGCCCAGGAACACCCUCUUUAAUGAGCCACAAGGCAGCCAUGAGCAUCGUAGGAAGCACACUGAGCACGGUAGACUGUUGCUUGUCAUGCAUUUUUUGCAAGCCACCACCGAUGCUGCCUACCCCACCAGCACUUGCAAUUGCGGUAUUCUUGGCUUGUAUGUGUCCAGCGGAGGACUCAUGGUCUCUCAGGACACCCGCAUCUCCAAUCACAGCACCAUGGCCACCAUCAACUUUCCCAGCAAACUUGGAUGCAGACUUGCUAUGCUCACGACAUAUGGUGCACACGCCUUUUGGAUGGCCAUACUCAGACUUUUUGCCCGUAUAUUGUAGCCAGGGAUAUGACUUCUGCCACUCUUUCUCCUUGUUGUCCCUGGCUUUCCUGUCCUUCUCCGCCUUAUCCUUCAGAACUUGCUCUUCUUGCUUCCUUUUCUUCUCCCUCUGCUCCUCUUUCCACUACUCUUUGGACUCUUCUGCAGGAGAAAGGGAGGCCCCCAGUGGUCAGUGCAAGUUGCAUGCAAUUUCAAGCUGCUGCAGCACCAACUUUGGCUGGGAAUUGUGCAGUUCAGCAACUGGUCCUCACCAGUCUCAGUGACCUCGCAGCGGACAAGCCCCAGAGUGAGGGGAAUGAUGACGAGGGAGACGAGCUUGGUGAGCGUGGAGCGCUGCCGCUUGCUGCCGGUCUGCUUGCUGCCCGAUGCUGAGGCUCCAGCGGGAGCGGGAGCAGGCGGGAGGUCCACGUACGGCUCAAGCCUGAGGGGGACAGGGUUGGGGCCAGCCCCCUCGGGCCACGAACGCUCACCAGACGCCCCUCUGAGUGCCAGCCUCGCUUCCUCCCAGGUGUGGUCAGAGUUCAGCAAAUCCUGCAAUGUCUCCCUGAACUCAGGGUCUGGGUGCUGCUCCAUCCACUCAUUGGACCAGGCCUCAGGGGGAGUGUUGGCUGGCUGAGAGGGGGGCUGAGGAGGAGGGGUGGGCUGUGGGGCCUGGGAUGCCCCUGCCUGCAGGGGAGCCCCUGCAUGGGACGGAUUUGUGGCCUUCAGAGCAUGGCACUCUGACCCAUGCAUGCUGUUGAUGCAUGCUGACCCAAAUGAGGAUUGAUGCCUGCCAGCAACUCAUGACUUACAAAGGGAAGCAAUUGUAGUCUGUGACGUGGGCGGGGGAGGAGGCUCUGGAAGGCUGGGCAUGGGGCCUCUGCCCCGCCCUCCCCGUCUCCCUCCUCUCCUAGCCAUGGCUGCUGAUGACCCUGGCUGAUUCUGCCUACGUUGAAAAAUGCACCCAAAGUACAAAUUAUAAUGUUCGGGAAAGAAAGAAAGAAAAGAAAAAGAAAAAGAAAAGAAAAACUGCGUAGACGGAGAAACUCCCCCUACAUCAGUUAAGGAAAAGGAGGCACAUUGGCUCCGAAUAAUGUUCGGGUCCUACCCAAACGGGACCUGGCAUUUUCAAGGAAAUUUUGGGUUUGACCCGAGCGGAUUUGGCCUGCGCCUCGGGCGCAGGCCAAAUCCUUCAAUUAUUUUCGGGUAACCCGAGGGUUUGAACUUCUUUGGUGUUGGUGGCACAAUUUACAACAACUUCACUAUUGCACCUCUUAUAAAUCUGGGCCUGACCAAACAAAAAGCUGAAUCACUAGCUUCCCAACUCAGAGACCAUGCCAUCCAAAGAUUAUCCACCAUCAUUAACACAAGACAUGCACUUUGUUUUCAGGGAGCAUCUGGGAGGGGAGGGUUUGCUGGGCGCGCGGCUGUGGCUGAGGAUGGAAGAAGGAGUGUCCGAGCGCUCAGGGGCAUGGCGGCCAAUCCCCCGGAUCCCCAUUAGUUCUGUUUCUUGCUCUCUCCUAGGCUAGGUUCGUCUAGUUUAGGUGGAGGGACUCUUGGUGAGGCCUCUAGCUUUUGCUAGGGGUUCUUCCCUUAAUGCACGCGGCCUCGGGACUGCGUAGACUUUUCUUUUCUUUUCUUUUCUUUUCUUUUGGGGUUGGAUUGGUGAGGCAUAGAGACUACUUCAAGAUUGUCUGUGGAUGCAUUGUUAAAAGCUGUGGAAAUUUGCUGCUUGUCAGAAGGCAGGCAUCACAGCAUGCAUGGCUUUGAGAAUGUCAUGGCUACUGACACUGCGCAGUUUCCAAUUGGCUCUAGGCAUAUACUUACUGAUGUCACUGGCAAGGUUUUGCAGCCAAGCUGGGUUAUGGCUGUUAAGAUGGAUCCUUGCAGCAGGGUUCCAAAACGCAAUAAUUUGUAUAUCCAAGCUGUGCUGAGGAAGAGGUAUUUCUUGAUUCGGGCAUGAUUGAGGGGCUUUGUAAACAAGGUUGGUCUUCAUCUACUUAUUCGGAAAGCGCGUGUUCCAGAUGCUUGGAAGGAAGCUAAACUCACCCCAAUCCACAAGAAAGGCCCCGUUGUUUCUCCAACUAAUUAUAAGAUGAUACCUGUGAGCGCUCCUAUCUACCGGUUGUACACCAAUGUCCUGAGAUCCAUUAUUCAAGAUUGGUGUAUCCACCACAGGAAAAUUCCUGAUACACAAUAUGGAUUUUAUCCAGGAAGAAGUACCCUUCAACCAAUCUUC
rnacentral:lncRNA from 1 species